rnacentral:rRNA from 1 species
GACGAACGCUGGCGGCGUGCUUAACACAUGCAAGUCGAACGGAAAGGCCCAGCUUGCUGGGUGCUCGAGUGGCGAACGGGUGAGUAACACGUGGGUGAUCUGCCUCUAACUUCGGGAUAAGCUUGGGAAACUGGGUCUAAUACCGGAUAGGACAAUCGUCUAGUGUCGGUUGUGGAAAGUUUUUUCGGUUAGGGAUGAGCCCGCGGCCUAUCAGCUGGUUGGUGGGGUAAUGGCCUACGAAGGCGUCGACGGGUAGCCGGCCUGGGAGGGUGGACGGCCACAUUGGGACUGGGAGACGGCCCAGACUCCUACGGGAGGCAGCAGUGGGGAAUAUUGCACAAUGGGCGCGAGCCUGAUGCAGCGACGCCGCGUGGGGGAUGACGGCCUUCGGGUUGUAAACCUCUUUCGGCAGAGACGAAGCUUUGGUGACGGUACCUGUAUAAGAAGCACCGGCUAACUACGUG